UAGUGAGGCUUCCGGACCGUUUAGUGGAGAUCGGCAACGAUCACCACCGGAUGGAAAGCUAGUCAAACUUGGUCAUUUAGAGGAAGUAAAAGUCGUAACAAGGUU
rnacentral:rRNA from 1 species